rnacentral:rRNA from 2 species
UUGCUCCCGGAUGUUAGCGGCGGACGGGUGAGUAACACGUGGGUAACCUGCCUGUAAGACUGGGAUAACUCCGGGAAACCGGAGCUAAUACCGGAUAGUUCCUUGAACCGCAUGGUUCAAGGAUGAAAGACGGUUUCGGCUGUCACUUACAGAUGGACCCGCGGCGCAUUAGCUAGUUGGUGGGGUAAUGGCUCACCAAGGCGACGAUGCGUAGCCGACCUGAGAGGGUGAUCGGCCACACUGGGACUGAGACACGGCCCAGACUCCUACGGGAGGCAGCAGUAGGGAAUCUUCCGCAAUGGACGAAAGUCUGACGGAGCAACGCCGCGUGAGUGAUGAAGGUUUUCGGAUCGUAAAGCUCUGUUGUUAGGGAAGAACAAGUGCGAGAGUAACUGUCGCACCUUGACGGUACCUAACCAGAAAGCCACGGCUAACUACGUGCCAGCAGCCGCGGUAAUACGUAGGUGGCAAGCGUUGUCCGGAAUUAUUGGGCGUAAAGGGCUCGCAGGCGGUUUCUUAAGUCUGAUGUGAAAGCCCCCGGCUCAACCGGGGAGGGUCAUUGGAAACUGGGAAACUUGAGUGCAGAAGAGGAGAGUGGAAUUCCACGUGUAGCGGUGAAAUGCGUAGAGAUGUGGAGGAACACC